rnacentral:tRNA from 1 species
UAGCCUAGUGGUUAAGGUUAUGGAUCGCCAAUCCGGAGACAACGGGUUCGAUUCCCGU